GUGUCAGCAGCCGCGGUAAUACAGAGACUGCAAGCGUUAUUCGGAUUCACUGGGCGUAAAGGGUGCGCAGGCGGCCAAGUGUGUGAGGCGUGAAAGCCUGGAGCUUAACUCCAGAAUUGCACCUCAAACUACAUGGCUAGAGCAUUGGAGAGGGUAGCGGAAUUCACGGUGUAGCAGUGAAAUGCGUAGAUAUCGUGAGGAACACCAGAGGCGAAGGCGGCUACCUGGACAAUUGCUGACGCUCAGGCACGAAAGCGUGGGGAGCAAAAGGGAUUAGAAACCCGCGUAGUCC
rnacentral:rRNA from 1 species